AGCAGCGUGGCUCAGUGGAAAGAGCCCGGGCUUGGGAGUCAGAGGACCUGGGUUCGAAUCCCAGCUCAGCCA
rnacentral:tRNA from 1 species